rnacentral:rRNA from 1 species
CACGAAGUUGGAAUUGCUAGUAAUCGCGGAUCAGCAUGCCGCGGUGAAUACGUUCCGGGUCUUGUACACACCGCCCGUCACACCAUGGGAGCUGGUAACACCCGAAGUCAGUAGUCUAACCGCAAGGAGGACGCUGCCGAAGGUGGGAUUAGCGACUGGGGUGAAGUCGUAACAAGGUAUC